ensembl:lncRNA
GUGGAAUCUGAUGUGUGUUUACUGCCAUCAAUGUGAUGUUUGCCUGUUGUGCCGCCUAUUUUGCUGCUCUGUCAGCAAAAUUGUUGCCUGUAGUAAUGAAAGAGUCAGUAGGCGUUGUAAGAGGUUGGCAUGCUGGUUUGCCAGUUGGUGUAAUCAUUCCUCUGGUUUUCCAGAUUUUUUGCAAAAUGAUGCACAGCAGAGAAAACAUACUGGCUGUCUAUAUAAAUGGUUAUUUGUUUAUCUUUGUGUAUUUCACAUGCGCAACAAUCUCGUGUGAAGUGACCUUCCUCUCCACGGUUCUAGCAGGCGUUGUCUCUAUGUUAUCUGCUGUUUCUGCGUGGCUGUCUGCGGCCUUGGUGUUUGUGACUUUGCUCGCCUCUCUGUUCCUGAUAGCCACCUGCGAAUUAGUGUUUUAGUCUGUUGUCAACAGUCAGCCUUAUUUUUAAGUUACAGAAAGCUUCUCCCUUUUUUUGUUUUUUGUUUUUUUGUUUGGGAGAAUAGAUGCAACUCUACAUUUUCACUUAAGGCAGUUUUAGAUAAUUUGUAGUUCUUCAAACAAUGCAUGGAUCUCACACAUUUCAAACUUUCAAGUUAGGGUUGUUUCCCAUUUAUACAAAUAUAUAUAUUUAACUUUGCAUUGCUCACAGCUCAUAGCUCACAGCUCUAAACCUAGGCAUUUUUCAAUCAUAUGCCUAAUCACUAUGUGUCACUGUGAUUCUCAAUUAUGGUCACAAGUUCGUUUAAAUUCGUUUCCACAACCAACAAAAUAAUCAAACAAAACCAAAAAACAUAAACGUGUCAGGACACAAAAGAAAAAAAGAAAAAUGCUGCCACCCGAACAAGGCAGAAGUCUGCAUAUGUUGGCUUGUAAUAGCAUGCAGCUUGUAACAUGGUAGACUAAUGUGCCUGUGUUAAUUCAGCUCCAUAUUAUUGUGUGAAGUUGCACUGGGUUGGGAGUGGUUGUGUGUGUGUCACAUUUUUGGUGAGCCAAUGGCUGGAAUGGGGUUGGACUAAUUAGAGGCAGGUGUACUUGAUUGCACUGAUACACCGGUCUUCUUAUAGCCCACACUACAAACACUGCUGUGUUGUUUUGUCUCUCUGUGCAGGCCAGGGCCUAUUAUAUGCCACAGCCUAAAGGCAGCAGGGUUGCAGAGGCUUGAGUGACCACUGACUAUAUGCUUGCAGGGUGGUGGGUCUCCAAGGACAACUUCUAACCCUGUUAAAGGCAACAUGUGGAGUGCAAC